CACCUGCCUCUGUCUGAUAUGUUUGAUAUUAGGUUGUUUUAUUGGAAAGCCAACUAAAUAUCAAACAUAUUCUUACAGCGCCAGGGC
rnacentral:pre_miRNA from 1 species